rnacentral:rRNA from 1 species
CCUACUGGAGGCAGCAUUGGGGAAUAUUGCACAAUGGGGGAAACCCUGAUCCAGCGACGCCGCGUGGGUGAGGAAGUAUUUCGGUAUGUAACGCCCUAUCAGCAGGGAAGAAAAUGACGGUACCUGACUAAGAAGCCCCGGCUAACUACGUGUCAGCAGCCGCGGUAAUACGUAGGGGGCAAGCAUUAUCCGGAUUUACUGGGUUUAAAGGGAGCGUAGACGGCGGCCCAAGUCUGAUGUGAAAGUCCGGGGCUCAACCCCGGGACUGCAUUGGAAACUGGCAUGCUGGAGUGCCGGAGGGGCAAGCGGAAUUCCUAGUGUAGCGGUGAAAUGCGUAGAUAUUAGGAGGAACACCGGUGGCGAAGGCGGCUUACUGGACGGUAACUGACGUUGAGGCUCGAAAGCGUGGGGAGCAAACAGGAUUAGAUACCCGUGUAGUC